AUUGAACGCUGGCGGCAGGCUUAACACAUGCAAGUCGAGCGAGCGGCGGACGGGUGAGUAAUGUCUGGGAAACUGCCUGAUGGAGGGGGAUAACUACUGGAAACGGUAGCUAAUACCGCAUACCAUCGGAUGUGCCCAGAUGGGUUUAGCUAGUAGGUGGGGUAAAGGCUCACCUAGGCGACGAUCCCUAGCUGGUCUGAGAGGAUGACCAGCGACACUGGAACUGUGACACGGUCCAGACCCCUCCAUGAGGCAGCAGUAGAGAAUAUUGCACAAUGGGCGCAAGCCUGAUGCAAGCAUGCCGCGUAUAUGAGGAAGGCCUUCGGGUUGUAAAGUACUUUCAGAGGGGAGGCGUUACCCGCAGAAGAAGCACCGGCUAACUCCGUGCCAGCAGCCGCGGUGAUGC
rnacentral:rRNA from 1 species